AAUAUCUCUUCUUCUAUAAAUAAAAUCAAUGACCAAAAAGAACAGAGAGAGAAGCAACCAUGGGCGGUGGUGAUAGAGAAUCGUUUACUAUUACUACUACUUCAGAGGAUUCGUCUUCUUCAUCAGACGAGAGCAGCCAAACACAGAGCAAGAAGGUGAAGGUGGAGAAGCGUCAAGAAGCAAGUAUCAUGGGCGGUGAGAAAGAAAGAUCAGAGGAUUCCACCUCAGAAGCCCCAUCGUCAUCCU